UUACGGAAGGCAGCAGUGGGGAAUUUUGGACAAUGGGCGAAAGCCUGAUCCAGCAAUGCCGCGUGCAGGACGAAGGCCUUCGGGUUGUAAACCGCUUUUGUACGGAACGAAACGGUCUCUUUUAAUACAGGGGGCUAAUGACGGUACCGUAAGAAUAAGCACCGGCUAACUACGUGCCAGCAGCCGCGGUAAUACGUAGGGUGCAAGCGUUAAUCGGAAUUACUGGGCGUAAAGCGUGCGCAGGCGGUUAUAUAAGACAGAUGUGAAAUCCCGGGGCUCAACCUGGGACCUGCAUUUGUGACUGUAUAGCUAGAGUACGGUAGAGGGGGAUGGAAUUCCGCGUGUAGCAGUGAAAUGCGGAGAUAUGUGGAGGAACACCGAUGGCGAAGGCAAUCCCCUGGACCUGUACUGACGCUCAUGCACGAAAGCGUGGGGAGCAAACAGGAUUAGAUACCCGAGUAGUCC
rnacentral:rRNA from 1 species